rnacentral:misc_RNA from 1 species
AAAGUCGUAACAAGGUUUCCGUAGGUGAACCUGCGGAAGGAUCAUUAUAAGUGGGAGGUGUUGGGUGUUGGGUUGGGUGGAGUGUUGGUUGGUUGGGUGGAGGGUUGAGUGUGCGAGUAAGCAAUUGCUGGCAUCCAACACCAUACACCUCACUCAACCACACACAAACCCCCAACACCCGCAUCCAAAUGCGCCGGAUCCCGAGAGGGAGAAGGACACAUGAGCGUGAAGAGUGACUUAGGCGUUUAGCAAUAAAUACAACUUUCAACAACGGAUCUCUGGGCUCCU